rnacentral:rRNA from 1 species
UACGAAGGGGGCUAGCGUUGCUCGGAAUCACUGGGCGUAAAGGGUGCGUAGGCGGGUCUUUAAGUCAGGGGUGAAAUCCUGGAGCUCAACUCCAGAACUGCCUUUGAUACUGAGGAUCUUGAGUUCGGGAGAGGUGAGUGGAACUGCGAGUGUAGAGGUGAAAUUCGUAGAUAUUCGCAAGAACACCAGUGGCGAAGGCGGCUCACUGGCCCGAUACUGACGCUGAGGCGCGAAAGCGUGGGAAGCAAACAGG